rnacentral:tmRNA from 1 species
GGGGGCGCGUGGCUUCGACAGGGGAAGGCCUACAGAAUUGCAAGCUGAGGUGCCGCUAACCUCAUAAAACAAGUGGCAAAAAACAACUGGCAACAGACUAGUUGGCGUUGCAGCCUGAUUAGGGCUGCACAUUCAACCCGGCCUCUCCUCGAAGGUUGGGAUUGGGUGUCACAAAGUCGAGGUGCUGCAAUCCUGACGCCGAUAGGGAUUGCAUAAGAAAAGUCGGCUGGCUUAGCUGGAUGCGGUCAGCAGAUGAAAGCUAGGCGAGAUGAGAGGAGCUGACUAAGCUUGUAGGAUAUUCUGGCAACCUUUUUCUGGACGGGGAGUUCGACCCUCCCCCGCCUCCACCA